rnacentral:rRNA from 1 species
UACGUAGGGGGCUAGCGUUGUCCGGAAUCAUUGGGCGUAAAGCGCGCGUAGGCGGCCCGGUAAGUCCGCUGUAAAAGUCAAAGGCUCAACCUUUGAAUGUCAGUGGAUACUGCCGGGCUAGAGUCCGGAAGAGGCGAGUGGAACUCCUGGUGUAGCGGUGGAAUGCGCAGAUAUCAGGAGGAACACCGGUGGCGAAGGCGGCAUCCUGGACCGGUAUUGACGCUGAGGCGCGAAAGCCAGGGGAGCAAACGGG